rnacentral:rRNA from 1 species
UACGUAGGGUGCGAGCGUUGUCCGGAAUUAUUGGGCGUAAAGAGCUCGUAGGCGGUUUGUCGCGUCGACUGUGAAAACCCGAGGCUUAAACUCGGGCCUGCAGUCGAUACGGGCAGACUAGAGUUCGGUAGGGGAGACUGGAAUUCCUGGUGUAGCGGUGAAAUGCGCAGAUAUCAGGAGGAACACCGGUGGCGAAGGCGGGUCUCUGGGCCGAUACUGACGCUGAGGAGCGAAAGCGUGGGGAGCGAACAGG